AUGUCACUCACCGGCCUAAACGACGAGCAAACACUCGAACGUGAGAGCAAGGGGUCACCCAACGAAUGGACUUCCCCUAACCCUAAUGAUGGUUCUAGUUCCACUAAUGAUGGAACAAAUUCAAAUGUGAAAACUAGUGCACCUAAGCACGGCGAUCAUGGUAUAAUCCACCAUUUUAUAUGGGGUGGUGGUAGUUCAAACGGUGGAGAUAGUUCCAACAGUGGUUGGACUUCCUACUUGAAUUCACCUAUUGAUAGAUUUGUGAAAAAUAGAAAAACAUUUACCAAUUUAUAUCAAAGAGGUCUAAAUGGUUUUAUUGCCAAAAUAAUAGGGUGA
rnacentral:rRNA from 1 species